CCCACUUGCCAAGCAUAAAGCAUACUGCGUUAUCAAAUAUCUCAACCUAGACAUGGAGUUAGCAGGUAAGAGGAGGAUGUUGCAGCUAUGUUGCGGUUGCAUGAACCUGAUGAAUUUCAACUGCAGGCCUACAAAAAUGUUAAAUUGUACAAGGAGACAAAAAGAUGGCAUGAUAGACACAUCCAGGAGAGUUCCUUUGAGCCUAGCCAGUUGGUAUUGUCAUUCAAUUCGAGACUUAAGCUAAUCCCUGGAAAGUUAAAGUCUAAAUGGUCAGGGCCCUUUGAGGUUCUGAGGAUGACAAGGCAUGGAGCUGUUGAACUAUGAACGGCCAGAUUCAAGGGAACUUUCUUGAUGAAUGGACAGAGUGAAGCACUAUCGGGCUGAAGACAUGGACAGACACAAGACCUUAGUUGAGCUGUCCAAUAACUAUUGGUGGUGACGUCGAGCCACGACAUAAACUAAGACACUUCUUGGGAGGUAACUCAUGCCUGCAUCAUGACGCGAUGUUAAAUCAAGAGCUGCUGAGGAGGCAACCCGAGGAUUGUAAUAGGAAAAACACAAAAAAACAGAGACCAAAAUCAGAAAAAAUACAAAAAGAUGUCGUGUCAUGGCCUAAACUAAGGCACUUGUUGGGAGGCAACCCAACCUUUUAAUUGUUGUUCGUAGUUUUGAUUUUUGUUCAGGCUAACCGACCGUGUUGAGGGUGUAUUGAGCAUGGUACAAUGCUAAAACGGAGUCACGGGAGAAAAGGACACAAGAUAGGACGAAAUUAGACUAAGGCAUGGGUUGCAUGAGCAACUUGCCGAGCGAGGGCCAAAGCAAGAGGCAACCUCGCUUUGGAGCUCGCUGAGGGAAGCCCAUAAUAAGGUCUUGCCUCUCUUUGGAGCUCACCUCGAGCAAGGUAAGUCGCCCAAAAAUUUCUUUUUGUCACGUGGGUCAACCCGACCUGCUCCCCUAUUCCACAAUUUAAAUCCACUCCCUAAACCCCUAUUUCACUCGUCCCACAUACACCCACCUCUCCAUUCUCUCUCUCAAACCACCUCAGACACCUCUCCAUUGCACUGAGCUCCAAAUUAUAUUUCGAUUAAAUCUUUAGAUUAGUACCAUGAUUUCGGAAUCAUAGAAACAAGAAUCAUUAAAUUCUGAAAGAGUAUAAUUAUUUCAGCAUAGGAUUUUAUUGUUGGGUUUGACUAGUCUGGUGCCCAGCAAUUGUGAAGUUAGGUCCGUAGUUGCGAUGCCGCAAAUGUGACAAAAUGUCCACAAAAGUGAACUUUCAGCAAUUGCGAUGACCCUAGUGUAUCAAAGUUGGUAGAUUUUGUGAUUUGGUUUUUUCAGUAUUUUGAGAGAUGGGAGCUUGGAUUGAGGAAAUUUUCAAAGCGAUUUAUUUGUACAAACGUUGGGAUAUGAUUUGAUAAAAAGCUAACUAUUUAAUGCAAAAAGAGAUGAACAAAUGGCUUUGAAGUCUCCAUAGAAGUCAUUCCCUAGUAUUCGGAUCGAGCUACGGAAUCGACGGCCAAGUACCCAUAAAAAGAAGUUGAAAAUGGCGUUUCACAAAAAAUGACUUGGCGUGACAACAUGGUUUGGGACCCUGUGCACUGCACGUGCGCAAUUAUCAACAAAAUCUACAGAUUUUUUACUCUCUCAAUAUUUGGCUUGAUGUGUCGUUCACCCUAAUACCCUGUGCGGCCCACCUAUGUAAUUUUUUGUCAAUCCAGGUCAGUUUUGUACUAGACGAAGUAUUUCGGCCAAGGUUAAUUUUCCACACUAUAAAUAUAUCUUAAACACAUUUUUGAGAGGAGAUUCAAACUUUGGAUAGAAGAACAUCACAAGGAUGUCUAGAGCAUCACGGAGUGGAGAUUCGCGCAAUUUAUCUUUACUUUUUUCUAGUUUUAUGGUUGAAUGAUUAUGAAUUUGUAGUCGUCACGAACAUGAGUGACUAUUUUAAUAUCAUUCUAGGGUUGAAGAAUUAUCCGUGAACAUUGUAAUUGGAAACUUUAUGUUAGAUUAUUUUUUAUUGUCA